CCCAUGAAUUAAUUUUCAAGAAUAAAGGUUCUGUAGUUCUCCAUAAGAACUUGAUUGCUCAGGAAGUUAGAGAUUGCUUUCCACGUGAAAGCUGGACAUGGACCACUAAUUAUAUUAAGAAUAGAGGUUCUGUAGUUCUCCAUGUG
rnacentral:lncRNA from 1 species